rnacentral:rRNA from 1 species
CCUACGGGAGGCAGCAGUGGGGAAUAUUGGACAAUGGGGGGAACCCUGAUCCAGCCAUGCCGCGUGUGUGAAGAAGGCCCUCGGGUUGUAAAGCACUUUCAGUGAGGAAGAACGCCUGGUGGUUAAUACCCAUCAGGAAAGACAUCACUCACAGAAGAAGCACCGGCUAACUCCGUGCCAGCAGCCGCGGUAAUACGGAGGGUGCGAGCGUUAAUCGGAAUUACUGGGCGUAAAGCGCGCGUAGGUGGCUUGAUAAGCCGGUUGUGAAAGCCCCGGGCUCAACCUGGGAACGGCAUCCGGAACUGUCAAGCUAGAGUGCAGCAGAGGAAGGUAGAAUUCCCGGUGUAGCGGUGAAAUGCGUAGAGAUCGGGAGGAAUACCAGUGGCGAAGGCGGCCUUCUGGACUGACACUGACACUGAGGUGCGAAAGCGUGGGUAGCAAACAGGAUGAGAUACACCUGUAGUC